rnacentral:rRNA from 1 species
UACGUAGGGGGCGAGCGUUAUCCGGAUUUAUUGGGUUUAAAGGGUGCGUAGGCGGGCUGCCAAGUCAGCGGUAAAAUUGCGGGGCUCAACCCCGUCGAGCCGUUGAAACUGGUGGCCUUGAGUGGGCGAGAAGUACGCGGAAUGUGUGGUGUAGCGGUGAAAUGCAUAGAUAUCACGCAGAACUCCGAUUGCGAAGGCAGCGUACCGGCGCCCUACUGACGCUGAGGCACGAAAGUGCGGGUAUCGAA